AUGGCAGUGGCGAGUACCUCUUCGGCUCUCCGGCUCCAGCCUCUUCUCCUCAUACUCCUACUCGCUGCCACCAGCGAGGCCACCACAUUCAAAAUCAUCAACCAAUGCACCUACACCGUGUGGCCAGCCGCUCUGCCAGGAGGUGGCGUGAAGCUCGAUCCGGGGGAGACGUGGGCGCUGAACAUGCCCGCUGGUACCUCAGCAGGGCGCAUCUGGCCGCGCACAGGCUGCUCACUCCUUGGCGAAGGCGGGUCAUGCCAAACUGGCGACUGCAGCGGCUUGCUCGCCUGUACGGUCAGAGGUCGAUCGCCAAACACGCUGGGCGAGUUCAGUCUUGGCCAAGGCCAAAGUGUUGAUGAUUUCUUCGACAUCUCUCUCAUUGAUGGCUUCAACGUGCCCAUGGACUUCCUGCCGGUGCCGGUUCAGGGAAGGUCAGGGUGCAGCAAGAUGUGCCCAGAUGCCUACAGCAAUCCCAACGAUUUUUCCACUUUCACUUGCUCGACGGGCACAGACUACCAGGUCAUCUUCUGUCCC
rnacentral:rRNA from 1 species